UACGAAGGGGGCUAGCGUUGUUCGGAAUCACUGGGCGUAAAGGGCGCGUAGGCGGCUUUAUAAGUCGGGGGUGAAAGCCUGUGGCUCAACCACAGAAUUGCCUUCGAUACUGUAGAGCUUGAGACCGGAAGAGGUAAGUGGAACUGCGAGUGUAGAGGUGAAAAUUCGUAGAUAUUCGCAAGAACACCAGUGGCGAAGGCGGCUUACUGGUCCGGUUCUGACGCUGAGGCGCGAAAAGCGUGG
rnacentral:rRNA from 1 species